rnacentral:rRNA from 1 species
GACGAACGCUGGCGGCGUGCUUAACACAUGCAAGUCGAGCGGUAAGGCCCUUUCGGGGGUACACGAGCGGCGAACGGGUGAGUAACACGUGGGUGACCUGCCCUCAGCUCUGGGAUAAGCCUGGGAAACCGGGUCUAAUACCGGAUAUGACUCCAUGACGCAUGUUGUGGGGUGGAAAGCCUUGUGCGGCUGAGGAUGGGCCCGCGGCUUAUCAGCUUGUUGGUGGGGGAUGGCCUACCAAGGCGACGACGGGUAGCCGGCCUGAGAGGGCGACCGGCCACACUGGGACUGAGACACGGCCCAGACUCCUACGGGAGGCAGCAGUGGGGAAUCUUGCGCAAUGGGCGAAAGCCUGACGCAGCGACGCCGCGUGAGGGAUGACGGCCUGGUGUAC